AUGGUCUCUACUUUUGAAGAGUUUAAGUUUAGCAACAUAUGCAAAAUAAUCUCCAAUUAAGCGAGAUGAUUAACUUCAGAUUUCUUCUUAUUUACCAAGAUUGCUAAAGGUUAGACCACUGGGGACACAA
rnacentral:lncRNA from 1 species